ensembl:lncRNA
GUAAGAAUUAGUAGGCUAGUGAUAGACAUUUGAGGACACCAUUCUCUUCUGCCAGGGAGUGACUUGGCACAGCCGCUGGAGAGGAUGAGAAGACCAAGGGGAAGGGAAAGAACAUGUCCUUCUGGUGACUGUGCAGCGGCUCUGGCAGUCAUUGCCUGGGUCCCAGGCUGGGAGCAGACGUGCCAGUUCCAGAGACUGCUUGUGCAGAGGGGAGCCAGCCCCGGAGACGAAUGGGAAGCUAAAUGUUGGUCAACCUUGUGGGCCACCAAAGCCACCACAGUUCUUAUAGAGUCAGCCUAGAUCCACUAGAGAUCAGGCUCCAAAGAGCCUGGAUCCUCAAGGCCUUUGCUCCCGAGCCAAGAAAUUCCUAGCUUUGUUAGUGGUGGGAACAGAGCCAGAGGGAAAUCAGCUUUGCUUAUGAGGUGAGGGAGAGAAGGGAAACUGGGAACUUGGAGGUUAGAAUGAGGCCCAGGGAAGGGAGAGAGAGAGAGUUUGGAGAAAAUGCCCUGUGCUUCCUGUGGUGUGCCCCCCCACCCCCACCCCGCCCUUCCCUCUCCAUGCGUCUGCCUUGGGCUGGACGUGAUUCCUCAGAGGGCCUGAGACAGGCUGUGAGGCCAAACCCGCUGUGCCGAUCUCAGCUCCAGUCAAGGGGCAGAAAAGAAGACAUGCUCUUCUUGGUCAGAAAAAGGACAAAAUCAGUAGCUGAAGAAAGAGGCAAGAUUCAGAUGAUUUGUAGGGAAUUCCUCCUGUGGUGGGCACUCAGGAGCCACUUCCAGCUGAGGAGCUUGCUGCGAGCCUGGCACGGGCCUGACCUCCUUCCUUCCCAAGAGGAAAGGGAGGGCCACCACCUACCCAGGCAGGAUGUGGGGGAGAAACCUGACAUCCUUCGCAGACCUGCUCGCUCGCCCCCGAACCUGCCCUCAUCGGCUCCACCUGCUCUCCUGAAGGUAGCCUGGACUCAGCGCUCUGAGAGGCGUCCUGCAGAGCGCGCGGAAAAUGUGGCUUUUGCAGGGCUGGGUCUGUCCACCUACUGCAGUGCCCAAAGUCCGAUGCCCUCCACAGUUUGGCCAAAUCUACUUUGCCGGCCUCGUCUCCGCGAUUUCCUCCCUGGGGUAGACUAGGGUUAGAGCCGGACGGGUGGGGAGCCGAGGCAAACAAACAACUCUGGGCGUGUCAGCCCCGCCCCGACCAGGGCACUGCCGAGUCGGGAUUGGCUGAUGUCGCCUGUAUUCUGGUUGGUCGGGGGAGGGUGCUCAUUCACAGGGAGCGCUGCUCCACUCGGGCUGGAAGUUUCCUACGCUGCUUCGCUUUCUGCACUCUGCACAAAAGUUGUACCACCUUGUAUGUAAACAGAUAAAAUCAAGUUAUCUAAUGUGCCUCCGAAUAUAACGUUGGCCCCUUGAAGGAUGGCCGAAUCUGUCAGCUUGCUGUAUCCUAUUUCUAAAUCACACACGUGAGGGUGAGUGGGGAGAGGCUUGCGGGAAGAUGCUGGGGGCUGCGGUUUGUCUCCCCCGGGGGAGGCUAUGGCUUACCUGGGGGCCGUUUGUUGGGUUAGCUUUUCAGAAGACGCAUUUCCCCUUUCUAUCAUCUACACUUACACUUCACAUUUCCCUGCCUUCUGUCGUGCUGUUCCACAUGGUAGGGGUGCUUUUCCUUCUCAUUUAUUUUUGUUGCUCUUGUUGGUUUUUUUUUCAACUUUUUAUUUUGUAUUUGAGUAUAGCCGAUUAACGGGCUUUCCCGGUGGUUCAGCGG